AACUGUCUGUGACACUGCAGUAGUCCUUGAUAUUUGUGAAAGAUGCUGUGCACUUGUCGUGGAUGUAACAAUACGAUACGAAGCAGCCAAAUCAUUGCUGGAGGAAGCCGCUGCAGAGAAAGUGAACAAGUACAAACACCUAGAAACUGAAGUAAGAAAUCUCACCAACGCAAAGGACGUUGUUUUUGUGGGCUUUCCCCUAGGAGCGCGGGGGAAAUGGCACCAAGAUUUACUGGCCUGCAGCAAAAGAAAAGGUAGAAUUAUGCAAAUUAGCUGGGAAAGAUGCCCAGACAGAUUGUGCCAAUUUUAACCGUGUUCUUCAGCCGUACAACUGGACCCAUGUUUAUGUCUGUGGCACAGGAGCAUUUAACCCUCUGUGUGGAUACAUUAAACUUGGAAUUCACUAAGAAGUAAUUUAACUUUCUCACUAGUGUGACAUGUCAAGGAAUAGCCCUCAUCUUGUUUAGCAUUCAUCAUAGAUUGGAAAAUUGUUGGAAUCUGUGGGUAUUGAUGAUUCCGAGAUUGUAGAAAGUCUCUUUCUGCCCCAUUGCCAAAGAAG